GGUCGCCAAACGCUAUUGUUUUACUUCAGCGUAUUCCUAACUGCCCUUACUGUUCAAACACGCAAUACAUGACGUGCUUUUUAUCUGUUUGCGUCUUUACUUCCGGGUUUGAUCGUUGUGGUUUGUAACCAUCUUGCGACUUUUAUAUUGAAGUGUGCCAUAUGAACAAAUUUGCCUUGCCCUGCCUUCAAUUAACAUGCGAUUUGUUUUCACCUACCAUUUAGUCCAAAUCUUGUAGGCGACGCGGGCGAGCGACACGUCGUCAUCCAUCUCGACUGUCAUGUUUUUGUUUUUUCCCCAAAAUGUGUGAAUGUGUCUCUCAUCGAACAAAUUUCCUAUGUUAAAUCCUAUGUAUCCCAUGAAAUCGUAGCCAUUGAUCUCGCCAUCGGAUUGCAUGCAUCUGAUCACCUCAUCACCUCGGAUGGCGUCGCCACUUUUCCAGGACGCAGAAUUCGUUUUGAGAGUGCGGUCAGCAUUGCCGCAGAGAUUGAAGAGGUGGGGUCAGCCUGUUAGUGCUCAGACCAUACGCUACACUCUACAUCAAAUUGGUGUGCAUGGCUAUCAACCCAGGAGGAAGCCUCUUCUGAAGACGGUACACAAGAAAGCCCGCAAACAGUUUGCUGAUGUCAACAAAGCACAUGGAUUACUGGAACAAUGUCCUGUGGUCUGAUGAGACAGAUGAGCGUUCUGAUCACCCACGGCAACCUUCACUGCAUCCUGCUUCUUAUUGAUCCUGUUCCUCCAGUCAUCCUCACCGCUCUUCUUCAGCAAAGCCACUCUAUAUCCCGAAGGCCUCCAAAACAACAACCCCUGCAUGAGAAUACAAAGUACAUUAAUAGAAAGCACAAGGACUAUUUAAACACACAAUGGAGGGAAGAAAAAACAAGAGCAGAGGUUCAAUGACUGUAUCAGAUGUGACCCACAGAGGAAGGCCAGUGCGCUCACUGACCCAGUGAAGGGAUGUCCUGUUCUGCCUCGAGGGCUCAACACAUCCAAAACAGGAUGAAAUAACCUCAGAAAGCUAUCACAAUUUGUGGAUACCAAUAAAAUUUUGUCUGGGAAAAUACUGUUCGGGUGAGGCUAAAAAAAAAAGAUAAAACUAGACAAACAAAAAAACUUAACUACGGGCAUACACAUUGUUCCGUUAUGUCAUCAGUCAAUAUAGACUGUCAUGACUGUCUGGUUAGUGCAGUCUAAACAGUUACUGAAAAUGUGACAUAACUCAGUUUAUAUAAUUCUUGGCAGUAAUCAAUACCAGGAUGUGAUUCACACCAUUUUAGUGUUCUCAACAGUAGUGCUCAUGUUUUCCUUCAUUUAAAAAACAUUAAUUCAAAUAGCCUUCUUACGUAAGUAAAAUAAUACCGCCCAGAAACAAAUGAACAACUCAUUCAUACGCACAAUUUUUCUCCCAUUCAUAUUAUUGUAAUGUGUCAUUACCUCACUUUUUUCCCCACUUAUUAUUGAGCAGUUAAUCAAGCAUAAAGUUGCAUAACGACAGUCAUGUGAAAAAGUUAAGAACCCUAUGGAAGCCUGUGUGUUUUCUAACAUAUUUGGACAUAUGGAUAUUUAAUAUCAAUUUUAAAAAUCUUGAGAGAUCCAAGUAAUAGAGCCAAACAAUUAAAACAAAAGAUUUUUUUAUGACUUUCUGUAAAAUGAUAUUUUAAAUGAAUGCAACUUCUGCUGAGGAAUAAGUUAGGACACCCCCACAUUCAAUCCCACUUAAAAUGGCUAAAAUCACACAGAGGGGUAUCACAUCAGGUGCACGUGAUUAGAACAUCAUUACCCAGUGUUUACCCAGAAGGCUUAUUUAAACCUCAAAUUUAGUUUGGUGUGCCCCUGACUGUUCAAGUGAGAGAAAACCCCAUGGUGAGAGCAAAGGAGCUAUAUGAGGCCUUCAGAAAGAAGAUUGUAGAUGCUUAUGAGUCUGUUAAGGGAUUUCAAAAGAAUAUAAAAUCAGCCAUUCCACUGUUCAGAAAAAAAGUCUACAAGUGGAGGACAUUCAAAACAACUGUCAACAUGCCCAGGUCUGGCCGUCCCAGCAAGUUCACCCUGAGAGCAAACAGAAAGAUGUCUCAAAAAAAACCUUUAAAUUCAUCACGGGACCUACAGCCGGCUUUUGCUACUGUUGAUGGGAAAGUGAAUGCCUCUACAAUUAGACACUUUAUAAGUUUAACCUUCAUGGGAGAUGUGCAAGGAGGAAACCUUUGCUCUCCAGGAAGAACAUGAAGGCCAGACUGAAGUUUGCCAGAGUGAAUGCAGACAAAGACCAGGACUUCUGGAAUAAAGUUCUUUGGACAGAUUAAUCUAAAAUUUAAUUAUUUGGAUAUGUUUGGCGUGAACCCAAUACAGCAUUCCAGGAAAAGAACCUCAUACCAACUGUGAAGCAUGGAGGUGGAAGUGUCAUGGUUUGGGGAUGCUUUGCUACAGCAGGACCUGGCCAGCUCACCAUCAUAGAAUCCAAAAUGAAUUCUAUAGUGUAUCAGAGUGUGCUUGAGGAACAUGUGAGAUCAUCUGUGAAAAAUUAAAGCUGAAGCGAAAAUGGACCCUACAACAUGACAAUGACCCAAAACAUACCAGUAAAUCCACCAAGGACUGGCUGAAAAGGAAGAAAUGGAGGGUCCUCAAAUGGCCAAGUCAAAGCCCAGAUUUUAAUCCCAUUGAGAUGCUGUAAAGUGACUUGAAACUGGCUGUACAUGCAAGAAACCCCUCAAACAUCUUACAGCUGAAAGUAUUCUGCGUUGAGGAGUGGGGCAAACUUCCUUCAGACCGAUGUCAAAGACUCUUAGACGGCUACAAAAAGUAUCUCAGUGAAGUUAUUUCAGCCAAAGGGGAUAACACUAGCUAUUCGGUGGUAGGGUGUCCCAACUUUUUCCCCAGUUAGAAUAUGCAUUUUUGUUGAUAUGUUUGGUUUAAUGAGUAAAAUAGUGUUAUUUUUUGUUGUUUACCUGCAAUUAAAUCACUUUCUUUUCCAGAGAUAAAGAAAAGCAAGAUCAGACAUUGAUACGUGAACAUUUCUUUAUGAAGAACUGAAUAUUUAACGAGGUGUCCAAAUUUUUUCACAUGACUGUACAUCAAAAAGGGCAAGACAGUGAAUUACCAGUUGUUGUUUUUUUACCUAUCUGCAUUAAUGGUCAAUAAGUGUUUUUGAUAAAAUAUUUUUACUUUGUAUUUUUUUUUAUUUAAGCGUAGCCAUUAAUGAAUUAGUUUGCAAAUAAGCAUAAUAAAACAUCACAUUACAUUGUGAGAAGACAUUUUCUAUAUAAAUAUUCACUUUUCUUACCUCGCCACUGUGAAUAGUGAGUAACUUGAAUAUUUCUGUACUAACAUAUGCAACCUCUUUGGUGAUAAACAUUUAUAAAACAUCCGCUGCCGGAAAGCUUACCUCUGUUUGAUGGACAUAUGUUUAGCUGUCAUAGUGUCACACAUCUCGUCCUCCAGUUCGGUUGUAAAUUCCUUGUAAUCAGAGUGCGUGUCUGCUUCUGGAGGCUGGCAUACACUCCUAGAUGAGGCAGAUGCCGCUCUGGUCCUCACAUAAGUGGGCUCGGGCAGCUCUACAACAGAUAAAUAUGCAGCAAUACAAUCAAUAAGAGUUGCAGGGUAUUGGCUGAAAAGAACUGUUAGAUAUCUCUGAUUAGGAGGUUGGCAAUUUUUCUUUCCUAACUUUAAGGUCGUGUUUUAAAAUUUUCACACUUGCAAAGUUUCUGCUUAAAGCACAAUUCAUUUAAGUUAAUGUCGCUUUUUGUUGCACACCGUUUUUAUAUGGCCAGUGACAUCACUGCCCAGAGUGCAUUGUGUCGUCAACAACAAUGGCGACCUACUAGUUAAGCUAAUUUUACAAUUUUUUAAAGACGAAAACAUUAAGAGGGGUUUUAAUAUCAAAUUAUUACAAACUCAUACUAUCAUUUAUCUUUUGAGAAUUACAUGUCUUUAU